rnacentral:miRNA from 1 species
CAAGGCUGUUGAGUUGAGAUC